CUGGACUACAUUCGUUGACACAGUUACAG
rnacentral:piRNA from 1 species